AGAUGCACAGGAGGAGAAGCAGGAGCUGUCGUGAAGAUCAGAAGCCAGUCAUGGAUGACCAGCGCGACCUUAUCUCCAACAAUGAGCAACUGCCCAUGCUGGGCCGGCGCCCUGGAGCCCCGGAGAGCAAGUGCGGCCGCGGAGCCCUGUACACAGGCUUUUCCAUCCUGGUGACUCUGCUCCUGGCUGGCCAGGCCACCACUGCCUACUUCCUGUACCAGCAGCAGGGCCGGCUGGACAAACUGACAGUCACCUCCCAGAACCUGCAGCUGGAGAACCUGCGCAUGAAGCUUCCCAAGCCUCCCAAGCCUGUGAGCAAGAUGCGCAUGGCCACCCCGCUGCUGAUGCAGGCGCUGCCCAUGGGAGCCCUGCCCCGGGGGCCCAUGCAGAAUGCCACCAAGUAUGGCAACAUGACGGAGGACCAUGUGAUGCACCUGCUCCAGGUGAGUGCAGGGAGCUAGCCGGGUGGCCCUGCCUGCCCACCCAGGACCCUGGCCAGGCCGAGUUCCAAGGCCUGUAUACCUGGCUCAUGGCAGACUUUCAACAUGUGCUCUCUGGAUUACUGAAUACAAGGGUGACCCUUAAAUGUUAUAUGUAGUCUGGCCUCUCUGCAUUUUCGAGAUAAACAGGCAUGGCUGGGUGCAGUGGCUCAUGCCUGUAAUCUCAGCACUUUGGGAGGCCUAGGCGGGUGGAUCACCUGAGGCCGGGAGUUCGAGACCAGCCUGG
rnacentral:sRNA from 1 species